rnacentral:misc_RNA from 1 species
GAUGAAGAACGUAGCGAAAUGCGAUACGUAAUGUGAAUUGCAGAAUUCAGUGAAUUAUCGAGUCUUUGAACGCACAUUGCGCCCCCUGGUAUUCCGGGGGGCAUGCCUGUCCGAGCGUCAUUGCUGCCCUCAAGCACGGCUUGUGUGUUGGGCCUCCGUCCUCCUCCCGGGGGACGGGCCCGAAAGGCAGCGGCGGCACCGCGUCCGGUCCUCGAGCGUAUGGGGCUUCGUCACCCGCUCUUGUAGGCCCGGCCGGCGCUUGCCGACACAUCAAUCUUUUUUCCAGGUUGACCUCGGAUCAGGUAGGGAUACCCGCUGAACUUAAGCAUAUCAAUAAGCGGAGGA